GUGCAGAUGAUGAUAAAUAUGGUAAUUUAGCACAGAGAGUUUUCUAUGAAGUUCCAAAAUCGAGCUUUUUAAAACUGAUGCACA